UACGGAGGGUGCAAGCGUUGUCCGGAUUUAUUGGGUUUAAAGGGUGCGUAGGCGGCUUAUUAAGUCAGGGGUGAAAUCUCCGGGCUUAACCCGGAAACUGCCAUUGAUACUAUAGGUCUUGAAUUAUCUGGAGGUAAGCGGAAUAUGUCAUGUAGCGGUGAAAUGCUUAGAUAUGACAUAGAACACCAAUUGCGAAGGCAGCUUACUACGGAUACAUUGACACUGAGGCACGAAAGCGUGGGGAUCAAACAGG
rnacentral:rRNA from 1 species